CGGCAUGGGGGCAGCUACCAUGCAGUCGAGCGGUAGCACAGAGAGCUUGCUCUCGGGUGACGAGCGGCGGACGGGUGAGUAAUGUCUGGGAAACUGCCUGAUGGAGGGGGAUAACUACUGGAAACGGUAGCUAAUACCGCAUAACGUCGCAAGACCAAAGUGGGGGACCUUCGGGCCUCAUGCCAUCAGAUGUGCCCAGAUGGGAUUAGCUAGUAGGUGGGGUAAUGGCUCACCUAGGCGACGAUCCCUAGCUGGUCUGAGAGGAUGACCAGCCACACUGGAACUGAGACACGGUCCAGACUCCUACGGGAGGCAGCAGUGGGGAAUAUUGCACAAUGGGCGCAAGCCUGAUGCAGCCAUGCCGCGUGUAUGAAGAAGGCCUUCGGGUUGUAAAGUACUUUCAGCGAGGAGGAAGGCGUUAAGGUUAAUAACCUUAGUGAUUGACGUUACUCGCAGAAGAAGCACCGGCUAACUCCGUGCCAGCAGCCGCGGUAAUACGGAGGGUGCAAGCGUUAAUCGGAAUUACUGGGCGUAAAGCGCACGCAGGCGGUCUGUCAAGUCGGAUGUGAAAUCCCCGGGCUCAACCUGGGAACUGCAUUCGAAACUGGCAGGCUAGAGUCUUGUAGAGGGGGGUAGAAUUCCAGGUGUAGCGGUGAAAUGCGUAGAGAUCUGGAGGAAUACCGGUGGCGAAGGCGGCCCCCUGGACAAAGACUGACGCUCAGGUGCGAAAGCGUGGGGAGCAAACAGGAUUAGAUACCCUGGUAGUCCACGCCGUAAACGAUGUCUACUUGGAGGUUGUGUCCUUGAAGCGUGGCUUCCUGUAGCUAACGCGUUAAAUUCUACCGCCUGGGGAGUACCGGCCGCUAUGGUUAAAAACUCAAUUGAAUUUGACUGGGGGCCCGCACAAGUCGGUGGAAUCAUGUGGGUUUACUUCCAUGUCACCGUGAAAGAACUUUAUAUUUACUUUUGAUUUUCUUUAGUAUUUAAUCAAAAUAGUUUAUGGUGCUGUUCGUAAACUUUAA
rnacentral:rRNA from 1 species